GGUUGCUCCUGUGUUUCUCUGGUUCUUGGUCGUGCCAUUGAAGAAUAGGUGUAGAAGAAAAUAGGUUUUGCAAGAAUCGGUUAGGCUGAUACCAUAUUAGGAAAAAGAAAGUGUUUCUUUUAUUAUUAUGUAUAUUGUGCAUAGAGUACAAGAGAAGUUGAGUUAAAAUACUCAGUAGGUUGAGUUAGUUGUACUAACUAACUAUGGGUACACUAUAGAUAACUUAACUAUACCUAAUAUCCUAAUAGGUCCCGAUGUUGUCUUGGGAAGUUGGUGGCAUGGUCAAACUCAGGAGGACGAGAGGAGAAAACCCAAUAAGGUAUUCUUGUUGGAAUCCAUGGAGUCCAUGGUGGUUUGGGGUUUGAUUCAGCCUCCUCAGGCCGCUGUGGGUCACACGGCCACCACUACUAGCCUCCUUGUUGAAUGAUCUUUAAAGCCCAGUACCCCAUUCCCUCAAUUGCCGCCUUUAAGUGGUGGUUUCUGCCACCGUUACUAUAGCUCUGCCAUGGGUCUCGACCAACCACCAUGUUCGGUGCCCCAGAGUUCACUUCGAGCUCCAAAGCUCACCAUCGAACUCGUAUCACUCUCUCGACCAUUUGGUUUGGCUUGAUACUUGGACAGCUUGUGGACUUCAGACUCAAUACCAAAGACUUUUAUGAAUAUGAUGUUCAAAAGUCUUGUAUUAUUAAAUAAGUUUAGUUUAUAUUUGAAUUUGUAAAGACUUUAAGUGUUAAUAUAGUUUAAAGUUUUAAAGUUUCUG